GGAAUUGCCUUCAGUAGCGGCGAGUGAAGCGGCAAAAGCUCAAAUUUGAAAUCUGGCACUUUCAGUGUCCGAGUUGUAAUUUGAAGAAGGUAUCUUUGGGUCUGGCUCUUGUCUAUGUUUCUUGGAACAGAACGUCACAGAGGGUGAGAAUCCCGUGCGAUGAGAUGUCCCAGACCUAUGUAAAGUUCCUUCGAAGAGUCGAGUUGUUUGGGAAUGCAGCUCUAAGUGGGUGGUAAAUUCCAUCUAAAGCUAAAUAUUGGCGAGAGACCGAUAGCGAACAAGUACAGUGAUGGAAAGAUGAAAAGAACUUUGAAAAGAGAGUGAAAAAGUACGUGAAAUUGUUGAAAGGGAAGGGCUUGAGAUCAGACUUGGUAUUUUGUAUGUUACUCUCUCGGGGGUGGCCUCUACAGUUUACCGGGCCAGCAUCAGUUUGGGCGGUAGGACAAUUGCAAAGAAAUGUGGCACUGCCUCGGUAGUGUGUUAUAGUCUUUGUCGAUACUGCCAGCCUAGACUGAGGACUGCGGCUUCGGCCUAGGAUGUUGGCAUAAUGAUCUUAAGUCGCCCGUCUUG
rnacentral:rRNA from 1 species